GAUGAACGCUGGCGGCGUGCUUAACACAUGCAAGUCGAACGGGAAAUAUUUCAUUGAGACUUCGGUGGAUUUGAUCUAUUUCUAGUGGCGGACGGGUGAGUAACGCGUGGGUAACCUGCCUUAUACAGGGGGAUAACAGUCAGAAAUGGCUGCUAAUACCGCAUAAGCGCACAGAGCUGCAUGGCUCAGUGUGAAAAACUCCGGUGGUAUAAGAUGGACCCGCGUUGGAUUAGCUGGUUGGUGGGGUAACGGCCCACCAAGGCGACGAUCCAUAGCCGGCCUGAGAGGGUGAACGGCCACAUUGGGACUGAGACACGGCCCAGACUCCUACGGGAGGCAGCAGUGGGGAAUAUUGCACAAUGGGGGAAACCCUGAUGCAGCGACGCCGCGUGAAGGAAGAAGUAUCUCGGUAUGUAAACUUCUAUCAGCAGGGAAGAUAGUGACG
rnacentral:rRNA from 1 species